UACGAAGGGUGCGAGCGUUGUUCGGAAUUACUGGGCGUAAAGGGUUUGUAGGCAGGAAUGCAAGUCAAGUGUGAAAUCCCCGAGCUUAACUUGGGACGUGCAUUUGAGACUGUGUUUCUUGAGUCUCGCAGAGGAUGGUGGAAUUGUUGGUGUAGGAGUGACAUCCGUAGAGAUCAGCAGGAACAUCAGAGGCGAAAGCGGCCAUCUGGGCGUAGACUGACGCUGAGGAACGAAAGCGUGGGGAGCAAACAGG
rnacentral:rRNA from 1 species